UACGUAGGGUGCGAGCGUUGUCCGGAAUUAUUGGACGUAAAGAGCUUGUAGGCGGUUUGUCGCGUCUGCUGUGAAAAUCCGGGGCUCAACCCCGGACUUGCAGUGGGUACGGGCAGACUAGAGUGUGGUAGGGGAGACUGGAAUUCCUGGUGUAGCGGUGGAAUGCGCAGAUAUCAGGAGGAACACCGAUGGCGAAGGCAGGUCUCUGGGCCACUACUGACGCUGAGAAGCGAAAGCAUGGGGAGCGAACAGG
rnacentral:rRNA from 1 species